rnacentral:lncRNA from 1 species
GAGACCAGGUGUUUUGUUCCGCUGCUCCAAGCCAGAGAAGGUAGGGAGGCGAGCCCACAGCGGAGGCUGGCAGCUGUCCAGCAUGCCUGCACCUCGCAAGGAAAGCUGCCCGACUGUGGGGUGAAAUACUCACAUGCCCACGUGGCUUGCAGAGAAGGAGACCUCAUUCUCCAACAGCUUCCUCAGUAAAUUGGAAGAUUCAAUAUUGUUACAAUGCUAAUACUCCCCAAAGAAAUCUACAGGUUCAUUGCAAUCCCAAUCAAAAUCCCAAUGACAUCUUUGGCAGAAAUAGGAAAAUACAUCCUAAAAUCCAUAUGGAAUCUCAAGAGACUGUGAAUAGCCAAAACAAUCUUGAAAAAGAAGAACAAAGUUGAAGGAUUCACAUUUCCUGAUUUCACAAUUUACUAUAAAUCAAAACAGUGUGGUACCGGCAUAAAGACAGACACAUCAACCAGUGGAAUAGAAUAAAGAUCGCAGAAACAAACCCAUAUGGGGUC